GGCUUCGUGGUCGAAUGGUAAGAUCACUACCUUUCACCCUGGAGUCCCGGGUUCGAUCCCCGGUCGAGGAGA
rnacentral:tRNA from 1 species